UACGUAGGGGGCUAGCGUUGUCCGGAUUUAUUGGGCGUAAAGAGCGUGUAGGCGGCCAGGUAGGUCCGCUGUGAAAGUCCGAGGCUCAACCUCGGAAUGUCGGCGGAAACCCUCUGGCUAGAGUCCGGAAGAGGAGAGUGGAAUUCCCGGUGUAGCGGUGAAAUGCGCAGAUAUCAGGAAGAACACCCGUGGCGAAGGCGGCUCUCUGGGACUGUACUGACGCUGAGACGCGAAAGCGUGGGGAGCGAACAGG
rnacentral:rRNA from 1 species